GGAUGGAUGUCCGAGAGGCCGAAGGAGCACGAUUGGAAAUCGUGUAGACGGGGAUAACUCGUCUCGUGGGUUCAAAUCCCACUCCAUCCG
rnacentral:tRNA from 1 species